UACGGAGGGAGCUAGCGUUGUUCGGAAUUACUGGGCGUAAAGCGCACGUAGGCGGCUUUUUAAGUCAGGGGUGAAAUCCCGGGGCUCAACCCCGGAACUGCCCUUGAAACUGGGAAGCUAGAAUCUUGGAGAGGCGAGUGGAAUUCCGAGUGUAGAGGUGUAAUUCGUAGAUAUUCGGAAGAACACCAGUGGCUGAGGCGACUCGCUGGACAAGUAUUGACGCUGAGGUGCGAAAGCGUGGGGAGCAAACAGG
rnacentral:rRNA from 1 species